GACAAAAUGGAGAGGGAGAACUGAGGAAGAGAGUUUGGAGAGACAGCUCGCCAAACCUUAGUCAGUAUUGUAGUCAGACUACAAUACUUGGUACCAAUAGGCACUGUAACAUUUGUGUAUUUUUGUUAUGAAAAGUAUUUUAUUGAGGUAAUUUCUGGAAAAUAUUUGGUAUGUUAUACACACACAAAACAUAAAUGUAUUACUUUUACUUUAAGUAUAUUUCCAGCCGCUGGCGAAGAACAACUUCGAAAUAGUGAGAUAAUGGAACGUUUCUGGAUCUCAUCACUUGAAGACUCUCUGCGCAAGGAGUCUGACGCACGUGUGCAGAGAACGAUGCAUAUUGUAAAACGAGAUUCAAGAGGAUUUUAUGCAAAAUCACUUGACAUGUCUUAUGGAGAAUGGAACUGGCACAUUUGUAGCUAUCAAAAAAAGAGGGGAAAAUCACUUUCAGUGGCAAUGUGAAAGGUCCAAUAAACCAAAAGGUAAAUCCUCAGGAGCACCUUCAAUAACUCGUGCCAAUAGAUGUGGAGCGUACGUUUCUUUUACAUUUGUGAGCAACAAUUCUACACAUGGGUGCAUUAUGCGUUUAAUGCAAGAGCACUCUGGCCAUGAUCUAGAAGACCCUAAGGAGAAUGCAGUGAAUCGUAUUGAUGAAGAACUAAUGGGUUACAUUCAUAUGUGCAUAUCCCAGGGGCUAUUAAAUGGAGAGAUCAUGCUCAAAUACAAAAAAGUGACAUCACAGACAGAAGAUUCUAUGUGGCACCAGAGGACAUUAAAGUAAUAAAGAAGAGCUUUUAUGCACACACACGAAUGGAUGGAAAUGACUGCAUAAGUGUUGACAAACUGAUUAAGUCCAAUUUGCAGGAUAAUGUUGUGUACUAUCAGCCUCUCUCUCACGAUGAAAAGCAACCCUUGAUAAUAGUAUUUAGUUCUCAGUGGCAAAUUGAACAGUUGAAAAAGUAUGGUCCAACAAUGAUUUUCCUUGAUGCAACAUACAAAGGCAUAACUCAGUAUGGUUUUGCAUUUUAUGCUGUGCUAGUGAAGAGCAACCAAGGCCGAGGAAUACCUGUAGCAUUUUUUAUUGUGAGUGAGGAAUCCAGUGACAUCUUGUCACUGUCUGAAAAAAGUUCAGGAAGCUGUUGGAGAGUUUCAGCCAAGGCGGUACACAGAUGGAUUGUCCGACGUGAUGGAGGAUGCGGUCAGAAUCUGUCUGCAAAAAAUGAAGUGAUUAGGUUUAUGAUUGCCUUAAAACAAUGCAGUACAGCUGCCGAGUUUGAAAAGAUGUCAAAGGAAGUGUUGUCAAAAUAGACAGAGAAACUGGCAGUUCAGUAAUUUCACAGUAUCUACAGGACCAUUGGUUUCGAAAUGCAGACAUGUGGGCCAAUUUUGGACGGAGAGUUUACCACCAAGACAGUGAAACGAACAACCUUGUUGAGAGAUUUUUUUUCAGCAUGAAGUAUCAGUUUCUUCAUGGCUAUGCAAACAGACGAGUUGAUGAACUACUACUUAAUACCAAGGUGGUCACUUACUACAGGUAUCUGGAAGAUCUUCAUGGUGCUCAGAGGAUUUCUGAUUCCAAAACACAGGAUACUGCAGAAUCUGCAUUACGUAUGAAGAACAAAGGCCUCCAAAAUAAUUUUGUUUACAAAUCAGGUGGCCAUUGCACAGUGCCUUCAGAAGCAGAUAAAGCAAAAUGUUAUGCUGUGGAUUUAAUUAGCAUGAAAUGUGAAUGCGCCGUUUCUGAAAGGGGUAAUUUGUGCAAGCAUAUUGAGUUUGCAAAAAUUAUGUGCAAAGAACAGGGGAUUGAUAUUGAUGGAAUUUGAAAAGAAUUAGCCAGUUCACUAACUGAAAAGCAUUGCUAUGAGUGGGAUGGAAAACAUUUAAUUGUACAUUGUGCUGGUAGUUUUGGAGUAGUACAUGUGCAAAACCAACAGUGUACCUGUCUUGCCAAUAGUCUUGGAGAAAUAUGUGUCUGUCUAAGACUUUGAGUUAAUUGGUACACAGAACCCUAACCAAGAGGUAACUGACUGCUUUGCGAAUACCACAGCAAAUUGUCAAUCACACAAUAAACAGCUGUGUGUAAAGAAGAUGAUUUCAGACUUAAAGGAGUGGUGUGACAGCAGUGAUUAUAAGGAAUCUCCAGAGUUGAAUGCUGUAGUAAAACGGGCACACCAACUAGCAUUUGGACAGUAUAGCAUGGCCAGCAAUAAAAUAAAAAUUAUAAGGCUGCAUGCUUACAGAAAACGCAUUGAAAGAGCAAGAAGCCAUGCUAUAGACAUGCAUUCAUAUCAGCUGAAAUAACCCCUUAAUCGAGCUUUAUAUACCCAUAGACCUGAUUCCAAAUUCAAAGUCUGUUCCUUUAGAAAAAGAAUAAUUGGUAGCAGAGCAAAGAAUCAGAUACUAAAAUCGAGCUGAACGUGUGCUGUUAUGAGCCCAUGCCUUUAUUUUUGAAUUACAGAAUGCACACAAAACUGGACUAAGUAUAGAGGUUAAUUACAACCGUUAAGGACCUCAAAGGUCUCUUCAAGUAAGAGUGAAAUAGCUAUUUAUAUGUAUAGUGGCAGCAUGUUAUCAAAAAUAAAAUAUAUGUUGCAUAGUUCUAAUUGCUGAUGAUUAUGUUCUGGCCAAGUUGGUCGAUAUUUGAUAUGGUAUGUCUCCCUUUUCUCUCUUAAUCAGAUUACUUAAAUAUGCAUUAUUGUAACACUUUGUAAAUAGAAGUUGUAAAAAUAUGAUUUGUAGUAAAUAGAAUGUGCAAUCUUUAAGUAGCGAGUAGUGUAAAAGCAAAUUGUUAACAUAAAAAUCUAAGCCUGAACUGAAUUUCUUUCAAAGGGGGAACAUGUCAGGGUGUCAUUAGAGCUGAGAAGUGGGGAGGAGGGUUCUUCUGUACAGCACUUUUUUCCACAAUUGGGUCCAGUACUUUGUAUUGCUCUAUAUCAGUCUGCUGAAGCAUGUAUGUGCAGUUUUACAUUUUAAUACUGCUAAUAUUUGAACCAUAAACAAAUAAAACAAGAAACUAUAGAUAUGAGAUGUUGUACAGUACCUUUAUUUAUGUAUUUUUAUGGUACAUUUUUAAAUAUAUAUUGAAGAGGUUAUAUAGUAAAGAAAAGAAAAUGCCUUACAGAAAAUGCUAUUUUAGGUUUUCUUUGCUUAGAAUUGUUCUUAAUGUUUUGAACAAGCCCUUUUUUAAAAUAAUGAACAUAUAUGCAAAGGAUGCCUUAUUUUCAGUGUCAUCUAAAACUACACAUUCUGCAGUUUUUCUAUCUGGGAAUCAGCACAUUUUUGAAGUACAGAACUGUAAACAUCAAGCAUUUGAAAGCCCAGUCCAUGAG